UCUACUCAAUGCUAUUAAAUGUCUAGUGUCUAGUGCAUAUUUCUUCAAUCUAUUCUAGACACUAGACAUUUAAUAGCAUUGUGCA
rnacentral:pre_miRNA from 1 species